UAUUUUGUUGGAGAUUCCUGCAUGUCUGAGACUUUCUGGAGUAGGGGCAAUCAGAAUCAGAGCGUGCCUCUGGGUCGCCGUGGGAGCUUCUGGUGCACUGGAAAACUGAACGGAAAAGGGCAAACAGGACAAGAGAAAACCUGUGUGAAAGUAUAACAACAGACAUCACCUUCUACGUUAAUUUGAUUAGUGACAAACCUUCAAGAUUUGAUUUUAUUUAACUUCAUUCACACAAAUUUUGUCUUUGCUUACUAAGGUGAAGUAAUCAAGUUUGGCACAGCACAGAUGUGAUGGAAAAAACAGUAUUAACUUACAGAUGAAUAAGACCUCAUGGCAGCCUACAGCUCCUCGUGCCCCUCCCUCAGUGGAGGGGCAGCACUGAGCUCUGCUUUCUGGUGACAGCAACAGGACCCCAAGGAAUGGCAUGGAGCUGUGUCAGGGGAAGGGCAGGUGGGGUUUAGAGAAAGCUUCUGCACCAGAGGGCGGUGGGUGCAGCCCCAAGCUGCUGGCGUUCAAGGAGCAUUUGGAGCGCUUUCAGACAUAGGGUUAAAUUUUGUGUGGUGCUGUGUGGAGCCAGUAGUUGGACCCAAUUCUCUGUCAGCUGGAGGAGAGGAUAUUCUGCACAGAAGCAUUACAGAGACCUCAUUGAAUCCAAAAAACACGAGAGAGCAAAGAUUGGGGAAUUUGGAAAGCUCUUGCAAGUAUUUACAGUGUCACUCAAGUAUAUACCAGAUGUGUGCCUUUACACGCUGAACAUUUUUUUCAAUGCUUCAAUUUGCCUUAAAAACAAAGCAACCAAUGGUGGAACUUUCUAAAAGGUGUUCAACAGCUUUUGAAUAUGAAGCCCCUUAAAGUACUUUGAAAGCAGACCCUGCUCCCUUUGAAAAUCUUAGUUUCUUUAGAAAGUCUCAUCUGCUCAGCACCCACCUGCAUGAUCAUCAACACCAGCAUGAGGUGCAAGGAGAGGUGCAAGGCCCAGAGUUCCUCGGGUGCUUCAUGUGGGCAGCUGAUUCCCCUGUGCAGCGUGUGGGAAAAGUCAGGCACCUAAACCAGCCAACAGAAAGUGGUCGGUGGGGCUCAGACUUUCCUGCUCUUCAGACUCCUACAUUGACAUUAUGUAUACAUUUAUAUACAAAAUGAGG